UACGAAGGGGGCUAGCGUUGUUCGGAAUUACUGGGCGUAAAGGGCGCGUAGGCGGUGUGUCAAGUCAGGCGUGAAAGCCCCGGGCUCAACCUGGGAACCGCGCUUGAGACUGGCACGCUAGAGUUCGGGAGAGGAUGGUGGAAUUCCCAGUGUAGAGGUGAAAUUCGUAGAUAUCGGGAAGAACACCCGUGGCGAAGGCGGCUCUCUGGAACGCAACUGACGCUGAGACGCGAAAGCGUGGGGAGCAAACAGG
rnacentral:rRNA from 1 species